UAGGGAAUCUUCGGCAAUGGGGGGAACCCUGACCGAGCAACGCCGCGUGAGUGAAGAAGGUUUUCGGAUCGUAAAGCUCUGUUGUUAAGGAAGAACGAGUGUGAGAAUGGAAAGUUCAUACUGUGACGGUACUUAACCAGAAAGGGACGGCUAACUACGUGCCAGCAGCCGCGGUAAUACGUAGGUCCCGAGCGUUGUCCGGAUUUAUUGGGCGUAAAGCGAGCGCAGGCGGUUAGAUAAGUCUGAAGUUAAAGGCAGUGGCUCAACCAUUGUAGGCUUUGGAAACUGUUUAACUUGAGUACAGAAGGGGAGAGUGGAAUUCCAUGUGUAGCGGUGAAAUGCGUAGAUAUAUGGAGGAACACCGGUGGCGAAAGCGGCUCUCUGGUCUGUAACUGACGCUGAGGCUCGAAAGCGUGGGGAGCGAACAGG
rnacentral:rRNA from 1 species